rnacentral:misc_RNA from 1 species
CCGGUAUCAUCUUUAUCUGGUCUGUGCAAUUGUAGAAUAAAGUUACGUUUUCAAACUCUGGCACAUAGCUGGAUGGAGUCUCGUUUAGACUUGUGUCAGGAAUUUGGGAGAUAUUAUCAAGAGGACAAACAUUCUCCCAUAGAGCAAUGGUCAUCACAUGUUGGGGUUGAUCUACGGACUUUACAUAAAAUUCUUCAUUAUUUAUAGAUAUAACAGGGCGCUUACCUUCUUGGCACCGGAGCUUCAACCCUAGAAAACCACAGAUUUCAGAUCGGCUAUCAUCCCAGAAAGGAUAACUAAGAUUU